UGAGGAUCAAAGAGUGAAACCACAGACAACAUGGGAAGAAAGAAAAGCUUCUGAUUAAAAAAAUGAAAAACAUAAGACUGCAUGCAAAGGCCAAAGUAACUUUAUUGAACAAACCAGGGAAGCCCGUCUCCCAGGACUCUGCCCAGGAAUCUGGCAUGGAAUUUAAGAAUAGAAAACAAGAGGAUGUUCUGGAACAUUUGGCAUGUGCAGAGCCGUUGAUGGUGAAGCUAAAAGAUAUCAUCAGACAGAAAGAUGUUGAACUGAAGCAGAAGGAUCAGGUGUUACAGUUUAAUAAAACUUCUGCAGAGAAGGAAGAAAGAGUUUUUGAUGCUAAAGAGACAACUCCAGGAGAAGGAGGACCUUAUUAAUGCUUUGCAAGCCCAGCUCAGCCAGACACAGGCAGAACAAGAUACACAGAAAUUGAUGAAGAGGAAGUUUGAAAAAUAUGAAGAACUCUUGCUGGGCAGUGAUAAAGUUAUUGACCUGCUGCAAAAGGAGCUUCCUGCUGCUGAACAGAGAAGCCAGUGCCUGGUUCCAUCCUUCACCUAUAAGAAGUCUCUCACCAGUUACAGCAUGUGGAAGCUGAAUGUAAUACUUUAAGAAAUACCAGGGAAACAGAAAGGCAGAAGUCUGUGAUUCAGAUGAAAGAUGAAAUUGGAAGUGACUGACAGAACAUUCGCCUUCCAUCAUCUUUUGGAAAAAUUGGAGCAAGCAGACCAAUCCAAGGCUGGACUGGAAUCUCACUAGAGCACUUUGCAGCAAAAGCACAAAGCAGAAGUGGAACAGAAGACCACUCACAUUUUGAGCACCCAAAAGACUGAAGAGGAGCUAUAAUCUCCCUGUGUUGGUUUGAAGGAUCAAAAUUCAAAGCUUCUUAAAGCUAUGAGUGAGCAGGCAGUUCAGUCAACCCAGGCCAUUUGAGAUUUGGAAGGUCAUUGUUUGACUACUUUUGAAAUCCACUCUUCAGAAUUUUCAUGUUUUUUCAGGGAUCAAUUAAAAAAUAUCCUUUGCUCCAACCAAUUGAAAUAAUGGAAA